rnacentral:misc_RNA from 1 species
GCUAAUGUUUUCAUUAUUUUCAGUGUUGUGAUUCUAAAUAUAAUUUAAAUCUCCACACCAUUGCUAUGAUAGACGAACGAGCUGGAAAUGCCGCGCAAAAAACCCUUUAGCAACAAGCAGAAAAAGAAACAACUGCAGGACAAAAGAGAAAAAAAUCGUUUGAAAAAUCUAGAUGAAGGGAGCAAAUCUUCAAACGGGAAUUCAGCUGACACAGAAGGCGAUGAAGAGUCCGAGAUUGGAGGGCUCGAAAAAUCUUUGGACGAAAGGAGAGCAGCUGUCGAUAAAUUACAUCAUCAGCCCCUCACCCAUCGGCAGGAGAAAAACCGAAAACACGAUCCAAACAGAUAUCGCUUGCAGUUUGAUCGUGAAUCAAAGGCUGAAAUCGAAGCUAGGAAAAAGGCUGCUCAAGAACCACUAGAGUAUGUCACCGAGGAAAGUCUUGAGGUGAGCCUUGAAAGUACCUACAAUCCUGGAUCAGUACUGGACAUGCCUAAAAGGCCCCCUUGGAAAUAUAGCAUGAGCAAGGAACAAGUAGAACAAGCAGAGCAAGAAAAGUUUGAAAAUUUCUUGGACAAGAUUUAUGAUGGAUACAAGCACUCAGAACUCAGUUACUUUGAGCGAAACUUGGAGACGUGGAGACAGCUGUGGCGAGUUUUAGAAGUCUCUGAUAUUGUUGUUCUUAUAUCAGACAUUCGACAUCCAGUACUUCAUUUCCCUCCAACUGUCUACAAUCAUGUUGUGCAAGACUUAAAGAAAGAUUUAGUGUUGGUUUUAAAUAAGAUAGAUCUUGUUCCUCCAGAAGUAGUAACAGCCUGGAAGCAUUACUUCACAUCCAAGUUUGAAAAGCUCAGGGUUGUAUGCUUUACAUCCUUCCCUAAAGAUGAAAAUGAACGUAAUAAAGACCCAAGUAAAGUUUUAUCCAAGCGCCGUCGCCGCAAGAGAUGUUUCUUUCCUGUUGGACCAAGGGCUCUUCUUGAAGCUUGUGAGAACUUACGUGGAGACAAAGUUGACUUUAGCAACUGGGCCAGAAAACUCAGUCAGCAAGAAAAAGGAGAAGAAGAGGGCAUCAUUUAUGAUGACUACGGUAGCUCUGAGGAGUCUGAAGAAGAGGAAGGUAGUAGUUUUGAAGACGUCGAGCAUAACGAAGAUAUACUAACGUUGGGUCUCGUAGGUCACCCAAAUGUUGGAAAGUCCUCCCUUCUUAAUGGUCUCAUCGGACACAAGGUUGUGAGCACCUCUCGUACGCCUGGCCACACCAAACAUUUUCAGACUAUAUUUCUUACGCCCAACGUGAGACUCUGUGACUGCCCCGGAUUGGUGUUUCCUUCUGUCGUUGGUAAACAGCUUCAGCUGUCACAAUUCAGCCACAGAUGUCAAGACAUCCUCAGCAGAUGUACUCAACGUUGUUGCCGUGUUUUCCUGCCCUUAGAUCUUAUCAGGAAUGUAUCCUAUUUCACAAGUUCAGGAACCAUACACCUCUGUGGGGUAUUUAGCUGCCAGAGUACCCCUGGUUGAUCUACUACAGCUGGUCCACCCCGAAAAUAGAGCUGAUUCUGAUGGAGAGGGAGGGGUGGGAGAGGAAAACCAUCCUUGGUCAGCAUGGGAUGUUUGUGACGCCUGGGCUCAUAAGAGAAGUUUUCUAACAGCAAAAGCAGGCCGCCCCGAUGUAUAUCGAGCAGGUAUUUGGCGUUGCUAACAUCAUCUAGGAAAGAUUUGGGUUGAACUACCUGUACCUAGAUGCAGACGCCUUAUCUUAGAAAGGAGAUCAGACAAACAGAGCUUGCUAAGAAUUUAUGAAGCGUGUCAGUGGCAAGGUGCAGUUGCUAUGUCAUAAAACUGAUGCACAGACGGUUUUGGGACGCCGGUAAGAGAAUGCAGCAUCUUCUCGCGCGCUUCUCCGCCAACCAUUCAACUAAACGCUCGAUUAAAAUUUGUGAAGAGCAUCAGGGUAGAGAAUUUUUAACUUUUAGCUUGAAAAUUCUGCAAUUGACAUGAUCCUGAAACGAU